rnacentral:rRNA from 1 species
GAACCUUACCCAGGCUUGAACAGCGAGUGACCACCUACGAAAGUAGGCUUCCGCAAGGACACUCGUAGAGGUGCUGCAUGGCUGUCGUCAGCUCGUGUCGUGAGAUGUUGGGUUAAGUCCCGCAACGAGCGCAACCCUUGUUUGCUGUUGCCAUCAGGUUAUGCUGGGCACUCUGCAAAGACUGCCGGUGAUAAACCGGAGGAAGGUGGGGAUGACGUCAAGUCAGCAUGGCCUUUAUGUCUGGGGCUACACACGUGCUACAAUGGCCGACACAAACCGUCGCGAGCCCGCGAGGGGGAGCUAAUCGGAGAAAGUCGGUCUCAGUUCGGAUAGCAGGCUGCAACUCGCCUGCUUGAAGUUGGAAUCGCUAGUAAUCGCGGAUCAGCACGCCGCGGUGAAUACGUUCCCGGGCCUUGUCACACCGA